rnacentral:lncRNA from 1 species
UCUAAAACUACUAGGAGAAAAUAUGGAGAAAUAAGAAACUGGUUCAAGCAACAAUUUUCUGGAAAGAACCACAAAAGCACAAGAAACAAAAGCAAAAAUUGACAAAGUUGAUAUAUUAAAUUGAAAAACCUUCUGCACAGCUAAAGAAACAGUCAACAGAAUGAGACGAGCCCUGGAAUGGGAAAAAGACUUGCCAGCUAUGCGUCUCACAAAGGGUUAAUACCUAGAAUGUAUAAUGACCUCAAAAAAACUAAAAACAAGUAAUCCAAUUAAACAUUGGACAAAUGAUUUGUGAACAGACAUAUCUCAAAGAAGUACAAACAGUCAAAAAUACAUGAAAAAAAAAACCCACUCAAUAUCAUUAGCCAUCAGGGAAAUCAAGAUGAAAACUACAAUGAGAUACCAUAUCACUCCAGUUAGAAGGUCUAUUAUUAACAAUAAACCCUAAAAUUAAUAAAUGUUUGUGACGAUGUGAGAGAAAAAGAACACUUACACUCUCUUGGUGGGAAUUUAAAUUGGUAGGAUCAUUAUAGAGAGCAGAAGUUUUCUCUAAAAACUUAAAUUAGAUAUGCUCUAUGACCCAGCUAUCCUCCUUCUGGGUACAUAUCCACAGGAAAAGAAAUCAGCAUACCAAAGGGAUAUCUGCAUGCCCAUGCAGUGUUAUUCACAGUAGCUAAUAUAUUGAAUGAGAACAUAUAGUUAUCAAUAGAUGAGGAGAUAAAGACAAUGUAGUAUAUUUACACAAGGGAAUAUUAUUCUGCUACAAAGAAGAAUUGGCUCUUGACAUUUACAGCAAAAUGGAUAGAACUGGAGGACAUUAUGUUAAGCAAAAUAGGCCAGACACAGAAAGAUAAGACCCAUAUAUUCUCUCUCAUAUCUGGAAUAUUAAAAAGGGUGACCUGAAUGUAGAAUAGUGACCAAUAGAGGUUGAGAAGGGAUAUAGGGUGGGUAAAUAGAGGUUGGAUAUGAUCAUGCUGAGUGUAUGCAUAUAUACAAAUAUCACACUGACUCCCAUUAAUAAGGGCAACUAUUACAUGCUAAUAAAAAAUUUAAAUAUAUAUAUA